rnacentral:snoRNA from 1 species
ACCUUUUUUGAAAAAAACCUGGUAACAUUUUUCACUUCCAAUUCUAGGACAGCAUCAUGCAAUAAGAAAAGUAUGACAGAGGGACCCAUUCCAUUCCCAGCUUGCUCAGUAGCCGGAGAAUGGAAGACAAAGUGUAAAAAAU